rnacentral:lncRNA from 1 species
CUUUUAGAUUUGUAUGCUGGUUUAUUUAAAUGAUUGCUUUCCAACUGUGAUUUCCUCCAUCCUAUUUCUUCUUGCUUCUUUUUUUUUUUAUUUAUUUAGAGAAGCCCUUUCAGUUCAAAAGUUUCUUGCCCUUUUUGGAGGUUUAAGUUCUGCUGCUGUCAGAAUUCAGUAGAUGUUCUGUGCAAAUCAUUUUACAUGUAGAGGCGUAUUUUUGAUGUGUUUGUGGAAGAAGGUGAACACAACAUCUUACUCCUUCGCCAUCUUGAUCCUUCCCAUAAAUCAACAUUUUGCUUAGGCCAACUAGAAACUUAGCUAAGAUGGAGUUCCCGUUGUGGCACAGCAGAAAUGAAUCUGACUAGGAACCAUGAGGUAGUGGGUUCAAUCCCUGGCCUUGCUCAGUGAGUUAAGGAUCUGGUGUUGCCAUGAGCUGUGGUAUAGGUCACAGAUGUAGCUUGAAUCUGGCAUUGCUGUGGCUGUGGUGUAGGCUGGCAGCUGUAGCUCCGAUUCGACCCCUAGCCUGGGAUCCUCCAUAUGCCACGGAUGUGGCCCUGAAAUGACAAAAGACAAAAACAAAACAAACAAACAAACAAAAAAACUCAGCAACAAAAAAACAAAUAAAAAAGAAAGAAAGUAUAAGAAGCUAUGUAGCAUAAUUUGAAAAGAACCAUAAUGCAUGGUCUCCAGAUAAAAAUGUAUUUGCUGCAAGGUAGAAAACACUUUAGCUAUUAUCUCUAAAUGGCCUUGCCUUGAGGAGUUCCCAUCAUGGCGCAGCAGAAACAAAUCCGACCAGGAACCAUGAGGUUGUAGGUUCAAUCCUGGCCUUGCUCAGUGAGUUAAGGAUCUGGCGUUUCUGUGAGCUGUGGUGUAGGUCGCAGACAUGGCUUGGAUCUGGUAUGGCUGUGGCUCUGGCAUAGGCCAGAAGCAAUAGUUCCAAUUAGACCCCUAGCCUGGGAACCUCCAAAUGCCGUGGGUGCGGCCCUAAAAAGACAAAAGACAAAUAAAUAAAUAAAUAAAGGGCCUUCCCUUAAAAUGAAACUACUUUUACCUGAAGAGAGGAAUUUCCCAAUAUAAUUGCAUCAACUGAACCAUCAACACGCAUUUGUCAACAAAAUAAUAUAACAAAGUUUUAUAUUUGGUCCUAAAGAAAUAGGACAAAGAAAAGGUACAUUUGCAAGAAGGAACAAGUAAAAGGCUGGAAACUAAAACCACAUCUAAAAUGGCAAAAUUCAAUAAGGUAGCUGUGAUACAAUAAGAAAUGUAUAUUUGGUCUUUGUCUUUGGUCCUUGGCAUAGAGUUUCUAAAACUCCUGUUAUCUCUGGAGUGGUAAAAGUGUCUUUUGGAAAGUAAGAAUUCUACCACUGAACCUCUAGUGCUUCCCAAAGAGUGUCUUUUGUAUGCUAAUGAGAUGACAGGUGAGUGGGGGACUGGUCACCAGAAAGACCAAGGCAUGAUUGGUCUGGAACUCUCAGCCCAACCCUCUGACCUCCAGGGAAGGCAAAAGCACUGGAGGUUUAAUCCAUCACCAAAGGUUGAUGAUUGAAUCAGUCAUGCCCGCAUAAUGAACACUCCAUAAAAUCCUAAAUGAUGAGGUUCUCAGAGCUUCUGGCUUGGUGAGCACAUUGAGAUACUAGAAGGGUGGCAUACCCAGGGAGGAUGCAGAAGCUCUGUGCCCUCCUUCUGUGUCAUACCCUAAGUAUCUCUCCCAUAAAGUGUUCCCCUGAGUUGUAGUAGCUGUUGUAGCCACUUAUCAAAAUCUAAAGAAGUGUCAUGGAACCCCCAAGAGUCAGUCGGUCAGAAAUACAGGUGGAAAACCAGGACUUGCAACUGGUGUCUGAAGUGGGUCAGUCUUGUGAAACUCAGCCCUUAAUCUGUGGGGUCUAAAGUAACUUGCUAGUUAGUUCAGAAAUGAAAUGAAUUAUUGGACCCUCCGUUGGUGCCUAGACAAUCAGAGAACUGGCUGCUGGUGUGAGAAAAAAUUACGCACUAAGAAAAAAAGAGAAGGUUUUAGUAGAUAGAGAACAGUGUAAGACAAGUGGGUACCCAGGGAAGGUUAGAGGCAAAACCUGAAGAUAAAAUAAGCAUAUUUUCCCCAUAUUUCAUCCUAAGGCCUACAGAUUUAGAAGGUCAAUAGAGAAACCAAAAUUUGCUUCAAAAAUUAAACCUAUUUUAAAAGCUCAGUACAGAAAUUAUACCCUCCCAACAUGAAUCACUAAAUUUCAACAGAAUGGGGGGAUAUAGUUUUCCAUUUUCAACAAUGAGAAACAAUCCUUCCAUCUUUCAAUGUUCGGAAAGUUGUGCUUUUGUGAACAAUUAUUAGUCUAUUGGUCUGUUAUUUGCAUUUUUAUGAUAUGUAUGAACAGUUCUUUUUCCAAAAAGCAUUAUCUUUUCCCUGUAGUCCCUAUAUGGGAUAUAUAUGAUAUUACUGUAGCACUGAAAUUCCUACUACUCAAUUUUCAAUUCACAUGAGAAGACGAUGUCAUUAGAAACUGUUUGAUUAGUGAUGCAGAAAAACAAAAUCCUAACAUAAGAGAAACCUAAUCCAGGUUGAAAUGCUAUAGCUAAAAUCACAGGAAAUAAAGAUCUACUUACCUAGAAAGGACUUUCUGACAAAAGAAAAGACCAGGUGGAAAAAAAUACAUGCUUAAUAUAAACUGGGAUGAUAUUGUAUCAUUUGGUGAAGAAAAACCAGAAUUACUGAACAAUAUAUAACUAAAGUGCUCAUUUACCUCUUGGAAAAAACAGGGAACACGGAAGGUCAGAAUAGGGAGCAAUCACCCAAACAGGAUUAUUCGUGAACUAUAAAUUCUUUCACUAAUUACAAAUUAUCUAGUAAUACUGUGAAAUGAUCAAAUGGGUUAAGACAGGAUUUGAAUUAAUCAUCCCGGGCUUAAGAUUUUCCUCUAAUCCACUGAACCUUGGAAUCAGUGAAGUGUGAUUUCUAUGUUCUGAGAAAGAAUACUGGGAACAUUAACAUAAUAUUCCAGUAUUUCCAAGCCAGUCUCGGAUACAUCUCUUUUGCUCAGGUAAAAAAUUAAUGUUUUGUGUUCUGACCUUUAUUAGAAUCUACCUUUUAAGGAAAGGUCCUUUUAAAGACAGAGAGCUUCUUUGAGCCUCUUGAGGGCAGUGACUGUGCUCAAUACAUCUUUGAACUUUCAGUGCUUGAUAACUGAUGUGUGAGUGGUUGAUAAAUGAAUGACACAAGUUAACAUCAAAAAACACUCUUCAAGGAUUCUGCUUUUCCUGUAGAGCUAAUUAAAGCCCCCGAUACAAUACCAUACUCUACCCAACUAAGAAACACAAAAGAACAUCUAUACCUAUCACUUCUAUAUUAAUUUACAUCAAAUAUCAUAUCUACCUUUCAUGUUCCAACUCUCCACCCUGGAUGAUUUUCUUUCCGAUGUCUCUAUCACUUUUUUUUUUUUAAGUAUAAUGACAUUUCUUAGGUUAAAUGGCUGCUAGUCCAUUUUUGCAGAAUAAUAGUAAAGACUGACUUAUAUAGUUUUUUUCUUUUACCAGUGGGUUCAUGAGCCUCAAACAGUGAAUAAAUAAUUCUUGUGAGAGAUGGGAGGUCAAAAGGGGAGGCUAGAAGAAUUCCAUUCUAUUAUUUGUCUUGGGUGGUUGUUUCACAGGUGUUUGCUUGGUGAUAAAUUAUACAUAUUGUUUUAUAUACUUUCUAGAUUGUUACAUUUUAACAAAAAGAAAAUAUGUGUGUAUCCCCAAAUAUAUUAAAAAGAGAAACUGAAACUAUGAAAUAAGAACAGACUGCUUAAAGAAUAUGCACACAUUUCAGAGAAUUAAAAAGAACUAUUGGACAUCAGAUAUAAUAAAAAUUAAGGACUCACUAGGAGGACAAUAAUAUGAUAAAACCUAAGGAAGUCUCUCCAAAAGUGUAAUGAAACGGAAAAGAAUUUGAAAGCAAGAGAGAAAAGAUAAGGAAAAAAUUACUAGCCCAGGAGGACCAACAUCUGCAUGACAAACAUUCCAUUAAAAGAGAAAAAGGAGUUACGGUUGUGGCUUAGUAGGUUAGGAACCCAACUAGUAUCCAUGAUAAUGUGGGUUCAAUCCCUGGCCUCACUCAGUGGAUUAAGGAUCUGGCAUUGCUGCAAGCUCUGGCACAGGUCACAGAUGCAGCUUGGAUCUGGUGUUGCUCUGGCUGUGGUAUAGGCCAGCAGCUGCAGCUGAUUUGACACCUAGCCUGGGAACUUCCACAUGCUGUACAUGUGGCACUAAAAAGAAAAAGAAAAAAAGAAAAAAGAGAGAUAGAGAGAAAGAAAAUAGGGGGAGGAAAUCAUCAAAAAAUGAUUCAUGAAAAUUCCAAAGGACAUUAAUUUCCAGAUUUUAAAAUCUCACCAAAUAUCAAAUGCCAAAUGCAAUGGAUUAAAAUACACUCAUAUCAAGGUAUCACAUCAAGAAAUUUCAGAACACUCAAAAUUUUAUAAGCUUCUAGAAAAAGGAAGAUAUUAAAGAGUCAUGAAGAAAGGUUUUAGACUCAGAAUGGCUUUUGACUUCUCAACAGAAAUACAUUAUUUAAGCUAGUCUGGGUAAGUUUCUAAUCCUGCAAAAGAAUAGCCUUAGCUAAAAUAAUACUAAUCUCACUGUACUUGGGGAAAGCAAACUCAAAAAAUAAAAAGAGAAAGUGGAGUUCCUGUUGUGGCGCAUUGGUUAACGAAUCCGACUAGGAACCAUGAGGUUGCGGGUUCGAUCCCUGCCCUUGCUCAGUGGGUUAACGAUCCGGCGUUGCCGUGAGCUGUGGUGUAGGUUGCAGACGCGGCUCGGAUCCCGCGUUGCUGUGGCUUUGGCGUAGGCCGGUGGCUACAGCUCCGAUUAGACCCCUAGCCUGGGAACCUCCAUAUGCCGCGGGAGCGGCCCAAGAAAUAGCAACAACAACAACAAA